CCACAUUCAUUCUGUGCCAGAAACCUAUGCUGUGUCAACUAUUUAAUUUUAGAUUUAAAAAGUUUGAAGAAGAAAUCUUUAAUUGAUUUGUAAAAUCUUGACAUUUGUUUUGUGUAAAAUAAAACCAUGUAAUGUCAAAAAUUUGAUCACAAUCCAAAUUCAGAGCUGUAUCACGCUUGAAUGUUUUGUCCAUACUUGCCCCAACUGUUCAGGGUUCGCCUCUGCGGUCAUAUAAAGCUGCG
rnacentral:lncRNA from 1 species